rnacentral:rRNA from 1 species
GAUGAACGCUGGCGGCGUGCCUAAUACAUGCAAGUCGAGCGAACAGACGAGGAGCUUGCUCCUCUGACGUUAGCGGCGGACGGGUGAGUAACACGUGGAUAACCUACCUAUAAGACUGGGAUAACUUCGGGAAACCGGAGCUAAUACCGGAUAAUAUAUUGAACCGCAUGGUUCAAUAGUGAAAGACGGUUUUGCUGUCACUUAUAGAUGGAUCCGCGCCGCAUUAGCUAGUUGGUAAGGUAACGGCUUACCAAGGCGACGAUGCGUAGCCGACCUGAGAGGGUGAUCGGCCACCCUGGAACUGAGACACGGUCCAGACUCCGACGGGAGGCAGCAGUAGGGAAUCUUCCGCAAUGGGCGAAAGCCUGACGGAGCAACGCCGCGUGAGUGAUGAAGGUCUUCGGAUCGUAAAACUCUGUUAUUAGGGAAGAACAAAUGUGUAAGUAACUAUGCACGUCUUGACGGUACCUAAUCAGAAAGCCACGGCUAACUACGUG